CUUUUCUUUUAAAAUAAUCCCCACGACGAGUUAACCUCCCCCAUAUGCAUCCCGUACCUACUUUAUCCUUAUCACAUCUACCUACUCCAUCCCAAUAUCACGCAGGCAAACAUGUAAAAAAAAAGGAAAACCAAUCCUUUUCUAGCCUCCACAAACAUCAUAGAUUAGUCGCCUGAUCCGCCGCCGGCGCUAGCUUGCCGUCGGCCUCCACGAUGUGUCGCGGCAUGGAGUUCUCCUCUGAGAUAUAUCGUUUCUGUGUCUCAACAUCAGGGCGCUGAUAUACCGUAUAGGGAUACCUAGGGCUGUCCGUCAUGGUAUCGCAGAUCCGGCUGGACAAGAGCUUUCGCGGUGACCUCCGCUUUGACUUUCUAGGCUUCAGUUUCUUGCAGCUAUGUGAUGUGCGUGGAUAAUUAAUCAAAAUUUCCAGUGAAGUUUGUUAUGGCAGAUUGAUUCAAUAAGCUGUGAUGGUAUCUCCGGUUAUCCCAGGAAUGGCUAGUCAUCGAAGAAAUUCAAGGAUCAAUUAAUAGGAUACAUGCUUGGUGCAUCUGUGCUACGCCACCUUCCGUUCCACCCUCAACCACAAGCCAUUGUUCCCAGGUACCCUGACACGAACACCAAUUGCCCUCACCAGGCUUCGUUGAUAUUUACAUGGAGCUAACGCAUACGUACCUGAAUUCUGUAUAUAUAGUUCUGUUUGACAAUAUUUACAUGGAGCUAUACGCAUUAGUUCUAAAAUUUCAAUAUGUCUUGUGCUUACUCAGCUUCAGAAGAGAGGUAAAUCUUCAGUAUUUGUGCAUUGCAACUAUGCGAAAUAUAAAGCCAUGAUUGUACAUAAGAAGGGUUCAGAAAGUAAUCAAACUAUGUUGUACGGCCUGGUGAUGUCUUUUAUCCAGAAGUUGUCAUGGUCUCAAAUAUAUCAGUUUAGGCAUGUCACAUUUACUGGCCUACAUGCUGAAGUGUGCAGAUAUAUCUGCAUUUAGCUGCAUGUGCAUUUUUUAAAACUCCAGCUUAUUGCCUCUAUUUCUUGAGAUCUACUAUCAAUUUUAUUUUCAGAAGGAUGCUCAUUGAGUCAGCACAACACAAAAGAAUCUUAGCCAAUUACGUUGCUGCAUCUUUUGUCCUUCUAAUAAAAUCUGGGAAGUAUAACAGGUCUAUCUGCUCGACUCAUUUAGUCUUCUACUAUGUGAACUACAACAAAUUUAGUCAAAAUAUUGAAGUCACUAAGCCUCAGGCUACUUCGUGCAAGUGAGAUUGGACUCCCAAGUAAGCUCUCCUCAACUGAUUGAUGCAGCCUAGGAAAAUCACUAGGAUCUGGAAAUUAUAUGUCAUCAAAAAAUUUGGGCCAACAAAUAUAUAACGAAUAUAUGACUGAAAGAUUUCUCAGUUUGCUUUAACCUCGUAGUUCACAGAAGAUAAUCAUCAAGUUCCUUCCAUAUUGAGAGAAGUGGUCAUGAAGAAAGAUUACUUAUCUCAUGGCCUUCAAAUUUUGUUGCAGCUAUUCUAAAUUGUAAUAUGCAUGUAUUGACUGUUUGUUAUCUCACUAAUGGUACCAUAACUAUCUCAGUUUUUGUUGUUGUUGUAGAUUGCUAAAUAAAUGGAUGGUGCAUGGAUGAGAUACUGAUAAGAAGUUGGAGAAUAGUGCUUCUACCAGUUAUACAAUAUGUUUUGGAAUGUCAUUUUACCAUAUACACAUAUUGUAAUCAUCGGAUCAUGUCUUUGUAAAGCUACAUAGUUGAUUUAAUAUAUGAGAUCAUUUUUUUACUA